rnacentral:rRNA from 1 species
GUGCACCAGUCGAGAAUCCUUCGCAAUGCGGGAAACCGCGACGAGGGGACUCCCAGUGCCUACGCUCAGCGUAGGCUGUUCCCGAGCCUAGAAAGCUCGGGGAGUAAGGGCUGGGUAAGACGGGUGCCAGCCGCCGCGGUAAUACCCGCAGCCCGAGUGGUGGCCACUAUUAUUGGGCCUAAAGCGUCCGUAGCCGGCCCGGUAAAUGCCUGGGUAAAUCGUGAGGCCUAACCUCACGAAUUCCGGGUAGACUGCCGGGCUAGGGACCGGAGGAGGGAGAGGGUACUCCGAGGGGUAGGGGUGAAAUCCUGUAAUCCCUGGAGGACCACCGGUGGCGAAGGCGCUCUCCUAGAACGGGUCCGACGGUGAGGGACGAAAGCCAGGGGAGCGAACCGGAUUAGAUACCCCUGUA